GAAGCAUACAGCAGCCAGCCGAGUAGAUCUCAGGAUCAUAGCAACAACACAAUCCACAAUUAUUCCUCUUCAGCCAUGCAUGUCUCCAGGAGCCUUGAAGGGUGGGGAGCACAAAUGUGAAGAUGACAAGACCCGGCUGAAAAUCCCACGACACUAUCAGCCACCCCACCUUGGCUGAAGAAGACAUGUCCCAAGACCCCCAGUGAAUGCUUCAAACCACAGAUGGAGCAUGGAAAAGGGACAGCGCUGGAAGGGGAAUUCUCCAGAGAACUUGGAGUCUACUCUACUAAUCUAAGAAGGGGAAACUCAGGAUUAAAGAAGUAAAUUAAAUCAACAACAAAAUGAAAAGAAGGUAGAACUAACACCUAUAUUCACAUUUGACUGAAGCCAAAGUUAUUCUUGUGAACUGGUAUGUCGAUCAUGCCCAUAGAUAACUAACUAGUGUCCACUGUGAAGAAACAAGGCACCAGAGGGAGGAUUUGUACUUGGAGAAAGAAGAAAGCACAACACAGACAAAGACAAUGAAAUCUGACUACACACCAGUGGGACUGUGCUUAGUUCAAAACUCCAGGCAUGAAGCCCAAAUAGAUUCAGGCUCAGCUUUAUCCUUACACAACAGGGAAGAUGAUAAAAUGCAUUUACUUAGUCUUGCAUCAUGAGAGCCAAAUGAUUCCAAACUGAACUAAUCCUGUUCUAUCCCAGGAGCAGUGUUUUGGUUCUCCGCAAUACACAUGUCAAAAUGGUGAUGUUGUGGCAUGAUACAUUUCCACAACACCCCUUCAAGUGUGAUCAGGCAUGUACUCCAGCACAUAAAUGCUCUGUAUACAUUUGCUUAAAUAAAUAAUUCAUGAAACUACAAAUACCUAUCCCUGAAGCAGCUUCCAACUCUUAAACACUCGAAGCAUGCUCAUCCUCAUUUUAAACAGGAGGAGAUGAAGUGCACGUUGUGAUUCAGAUGGAGGGGCUGCCAAUCCACUGAGACCUAUUUCGAAUUAGUAAGGAGUUUGCUACUGUAUAUCAACACAGCAGGGGGAAUUUUAUUUCAAAGGCAAAAUGCUGAGAUUACGUACUGAUUUCACUGGUCCUCACUGGAAGCAAUCCUGGGACAAGAGCAUGGACUUCCAAACUGCUGCUCAUUUCCUCUGCCUUGUGAAGGGAUCUAAGGACUGACUGAGCUCCCUCCUGCAACACACUGGGCUCCCAAACACAGCUCAUUAAGAGUUCACCUCUACCCAGCAAACCAGGCCUCCUACGUCUAGCAUGCUAUGAGUUGAAGGAUUAAUAAAGCACAGCAUAGAA